AGUGAACGCUGGCGGCGUGCCUAAUACAUGCAAGUCGAACGGAAUUUAAAAGAGCUUGCUCUUUUAAAUUUAGUGGCGCACGGGUGAGUAAUAUAUAGCUAAUCUGCCCCUUGCUGGAGGACAACAGUUAGAAAUGACUGCUAAUACUCCAUACUCCUUUUUACCAUAAGAUAAAUCGGGAAAGAAUUUCGGCAAGGGAUGAGACUAUAUCGUAUCAGCUAGUCGGUGGGGUAACGGCCUACCGAGGCUAUGACGCGUAACUGGUCUGAGAGGAUGAUCAGUCACAUUGGAACUGAGACACGGUCCAAACUCCUACGGGAGGCAGCAGUAGGGAAUAUUGCGCAAUGGGGGAAACCCUGACGCAGCAACGCCGCGUGGAGGAUGACACUUUUCGGAGCGUAAACUCCU
rnacentral:rRNA from 1 species